rnacentral:lncRNA from 1 species
AUUUUCGAAGCAGUAGUCGCAAGAGCACGAUAUUCAGCUUCGGUGGAGGAGCGCGCAACAGCGCACUGUUUUCGUGUGCUCCAGGAUAUAGGAUUGUUGCCAAGAUAAAUGAUGUAGGCUGAAGUGGAAGUUCGGUCAUCCAUAUAGCCUGCCCAAUCAGCAUCGGAGUAUGCAGUGAGAUGAAGACCUUUAGUUUUGCGAACUGUAGACCUUGAUAAAGAGUCGCUUUGAGGUAACGCAAUAACCGUUUAGCCGCUGUCCAAUGUGUCACCGUUGGUCUAUGCAUAAACUGAGCAAGGCGAGACAUCGGGAAAGCAAUGUCAGGUCUCGUAAGAGAUAGAUAUUGAAGUGAACCAAUAAUUCGACGAUACUCCGUGCAAUCAAUAGAGGUUGCGCCAUCAUCCAGGCGGAGAACAUCAGAGGUAGACAUUGGGGUCAAAAUCUCUUUCGCAUUGUCAAGGCCUGUUUUAGAGAGUAAUUCCCUAAUAUACUUAUGCUGAGAUAAAAAUAUACCGUCUGUGGUGGGGAUAACUUCAACACCCAAAAAGAAACUUAAUGGGCUAAGAUCUUUGAGAGAGAAGGCCUUGCCCAAAGAAGUGACAACCUGCUGGAUAAAAGUGCUCGAAUUUCCUGUGAGAAUGAGAUCAUCCACAUAAAUGAGAAAAUAUGCAGUUAGAUCAUCCAUAUGAUAUAUAAAUAAGGAGGAGUCGGCUUUAGAUUGAGUAAACCCCAUUUUUGUGAGACAAUCACUUAAUACAUGAUACCAAGCCCGCGGGGCUUGUUUGAGUCCAUAGAGAGAGCGAUGAAGCUUGCAUAUAUGAUGAGGUACGUUGGGGUCAACAAAACCAGCUGGUUGUGCCAUGUAAACUUCCUCAAUCAAAGUGCCAAGGAGAAAUGCAUUGUUGACAUCUAGUUGACGAAGAGGCCAACCCCUAGACACGGCAAGAGUAAGUAUCGCGUGGAUUGUAGCUGGUUUGACUACAGGAGAAAAAGUUUCUUUAUAAUCCAAGCCAGGUCGUUGGUGGAACCCUUUAGCCACUAAUCUGGCCUUAUAACGAUCAAUAUUGCCAUCUGGUUUCCGCUUGAUGGUACACCCAUUUGCAACCAAUGGGAUUAUGAUGAGGAAGUUUCUCGACAAGGGUCCAAGUUCCAUGUUUCAAUAGGGAAGUGAAUUCCUCACUCAUAGCCUGGCGCCAAAAAGGAUCCUUCAUGGCCUGUGAUACACAAGUGGGCUCAAGGGUAGGUGGCAAUGAAUAUUUAGACACUUAGUAUAUCUACUUGGGUCGAUAGAUAUUAUUCAUAGCUCGUGUAAUCAUGCCAUGAGUACGGACCGGUGCAGCAGGUUUUGAUGGGCCAGAUGUAGCACUUGGGUUACUAUCUAGAGAAGUGACUAAUGUAGUCUGCAAAGGACUCGGAUCCAAGGGCUGCUGCUGAGAGUGAAGUGAACGAGUUGGGUUUGGGGAGGACUCAACAACAGGAUUAGAGGAUGCGUUGGGCAUAUCUAUUAGAAUAAUA